GAGGGGUAUAGGUUUUCGGACCUAGAGACCGGCGCACGGGUGCGUAACGCGUAUGCAAUCUACCUUUUACAGAGGGAUAGCCCAGAGAAAUUUGGAUUAAUACCUCAUAGUAUUACGACUCGGCAUCGAGAUGUAAUUAAAGUCACAACGGUAAAAGAUGAGCAUGCGUCCCAUUAGCUUGUUGGUAAGGUAACGGCUUACCAAGGCAACGAUGGGUAGGGGUCCUGAGAGGGAGAUCCCCCACACUGGUACUGAGACACGGACCAGACUCCUACGGGAGGCAGCAGUGAGGAAUAUUGGUCAAUGGGCGCAAGCCUGAACCAGCCAUGCCGCGUGCAGGAUGACGGUCCUAUGGAUUGUAAACUGCUUUUGUACAGGAAGAAACAGUUCUACGUGUAGAACCUUGACGGUACUGUAAGAAUAAGGAUCGGCUAACUCCGUGCCAGCAGCCGCGGUAAUACGGAGGAUCCAAGCGUUAUCCGGAAUCAUUGGGUUUAAAGGGUCCGUAGGCGGUUUUGUAAGUCAGUGGUGAAAGCCCAUCGCUCAACGGUGGAACGGCCAUUGAUACUGCAAGACUUGAAUUAUUGGGAAGUAACUAGAAUAUGUGGUGUAGCGGUGAAAUGCUUAGAGAUUACAUGGAAUACCAAUUGCGAAGGCGGGUUACUACCAAUAUAUUGACGCUGAUGGACGAAAGCGUGGGGAGCGAACAGGAUUAGA
rnacentral:rRNA from 1 species